CACAGUUUUAUAUAAUACUUUUGAUUUUAUCUUCUUAAAGUGGUUUGAUUCAGACAGACUUUAGAGCACUUCUGUGAUCGUAUAUUGAGAGAAACACGUGUCAGUGAAUCACACGAUCAUUAAAGAUGGCAUCAGUGAUCAUGAGACAGAUGAAGCUCAUGUUCAUGUUCACAUGGAGAAAAUGUCACUGGAAACUAAAUCUCCUGAUCACACAGGAGACUCCGGAGAUGUUCAGAUGAAGAUCAGAUGAUUGAGAAUCAACACAAAUGUUUGAGGAUUGCACAAGACUCCAACAUGGAGCUGAGGAUUAUUAAUAAGGUAGUUUUUCCUCACUAUAGUAAAUAAAUCCACAGCAGCGUAUUUGAAAAGCUCCAGAAAGUUGCAGUGGUUUCUCUACUGAAGGACGUCUGGACAGAUGGAGAGUUCACUGACUGGCCCGUAUCUCUUCCAGAACAAUCAACCAAUCAGCAACACUUCUGUUUAUGUCUGCUGAAUGAAUAAAACAUGUCAGGAUUUCAGUUUACUGGAUUUAUAUUAAUGUCAUGGUAAUAUAACACACAGCACAGUCAUAUAAAUAUACUUUAUAUUCUUUAAGAAAUAAGAAAAGGUUUGUUAGAUUUACUCUGAUAAAUGAAUAUGGAAAUAUAUAAUCAAGCUGUGUGAAAUCGUGUGUUAUUGGCAGGUCUUUACUCACACUGAGAGUUUACACACACUCUUCAUAACCAGAUGAAACGAUGUGCACGUGUCUGCUGCUCUCCAAAAAUAUGCAUUAUCAAAGAAUAUCAAAAGGACUAUUGUGUGAAUUAUUAAUUAUGUUUUCUUGCUGUAUGUGAAUUGAAAGAGCAAAUAAAAUGACUAAGUCUUGAUUUAUUCAGUUAAGAU